UUUCAGGUUUGAGGGACGCCGUGGGGAAGGAUUCAGUGGAUGGUCGGGGAACUCUUGACAAAACAGGUGGUGUGUGUAGAUGCUGACUGCUUUGUCUCUUUACCCUGCUGAAGGAAGGAGGGAGGAGCAGUCUUGUUCAUGGAAAGACUAUGGAGUGUCUGAGUACCCUGCAGGAUGUCUUGAUUUUGAUCCCAAGCCAGUUUUUAGGAUUUUCUUGGUUCAUUCUCGUUCGAUGCCCAGCCCGCUUAAGGCACAAGCUGGUGCAGCUCAGGGUUAGUCCCAACCUUGGGUGAAUGGGCAGAGGUGCCUGUGGAAAGACAUCCACUGUAAAAACCUACCAUUGUCAAGCAAGAAAGAAAAGAAUGUGGUACUUGUUCCUGUAAAGACUUGGGUGACAUCUCAUUGCCUCUGUGAUUGCCUGCACACAGUUCUCAACACCAGUAGACUUGGAUGUAGGAAAACCCUUUCCCUCACCAUUUUGGAAGGAGACAUUUACUGCUUACCUGGUUUGGAGGUUAUCAAGUUGAGGGAUCACAAGAAGUUUGUGGUGCUGUGAAUAAGUCAGGCUUGUGAACUGAGGUUUGAGGGACGUCGUGGGGAAGGAUACAGUGGAUGGCUGGGGAACUCUUGCCAAAACAGGUGAGGGCUGAAGGAAGGAGGGAGGAGCAGUCUUGUUCAUGGAAAGACUGUGGAGUGUCUGAGUACCCUGCAGGAUGUCUUGAUUUUGAUCCCAAGCCAGUUUUUAUAAUUUUCUUGGUUCGUUCUCGUUCAAUGCCCUGCCCGCUUAGGGCACAAGCUGGUGCAGCUCAGGGUUAGUCCCAACCUUGGGUGAAUGGGCAGAGGUGCCCAUGGAAAGACAUCCACUGUAAAAACCUACCAUUGUCAAGCAAGAAAGAAAAGAAUGUGGUACUUGUUCCUGUAAAGACUUGGGUGACAUCUCAUUGCCUCUGUGGUUGCCUGCACACAGUUCUCAACACCAGUAGACUUGGAUGUAGGAAAACCCUUUCCCUCACCAUUUUGGAAGGAGACAUUUACUGCUUACCUGUAUCUGAAGGAUGUUGAGGAUAACCCACAGCGCUCUGAAUGCCGUCUCAUACUUUUGGCUGGAGUGGGAGUGAUGCAGGCUGAUGGACGGGCCUUCCUUUACAGGUUUGGAGAAGGUUAUCAAGUUGAGGAAUCACAAGAAGGUUGUGGUGCUGUGAAUAAGUCAGGCUUGUGAACUGAGGUUUGAGGAACGCCGUGGGGAAGGAUUCAGUGGAUGGCCGGGGAACUCUUGCCAAAACAGGGCUGAAGGAAGGAGGAAGGUGGUGUCUUGUUCAUGGAAAGACUAUGGAGUGUCGGAGAACCCUGCAGGAUGUCUUGAUUUUGAUCCCAAGCCAGUUUUUAUGAUUUUCUUGGUUCAUUCUCGUUCGAUGCCCAGCCCGCUUAAGGCACAAGCUGGUGCAGCUCAGGGUUAGUCCCAACCUUGGGUGAAUGGGCAGAGGUGCCUCUGGAAAGACAUCCACUGUAAAAACCUACCAUUGUCAAGCAAGAAAGAAAAGAAUGUGGUACUUGUUCCUGUAAAGACUUGGGUAACAUCUCAUUGCCUCUGUGAUUGCCUGCACACAGUUCUCAACACCAGUAGACUUGGAUGUAGGAAAACCCUUUCCCUCACCAUUUUGGAAGGAGACAUUUACUGCUUACCUGGUUUGGAGGUUAUCAAGUUGAGGGAUCACAAGAAGGUUGUGGUGCUGUGAAUAAGUCAGGCUUGUGAAUUGAGGUUUGAGGGACGCCGUGGGGAAGGAUUCAGUGGAUGGCCGGGGAACUCUUGCCAAAACAGGGCUGAAGGAAGGAGGGAGGAGCAGUCAUGUUCGUGGAAAGACUAUGGAGUGUCUGAGUACCCUGCAGGAUGUCUUGAUUUUGAUCCCAAGCCAGCUUUUAGGAUUUUCUUGGUUCAUUCUCGUUCGAUGCCCAGCCCGCUUAGGGCACAAACUGGUGCAGCUCAGGGUUAGUCCCAACCUUGGGUGAAUGGGCAGAGGUGCCUCUGGAAAGACAUCCACUGUAAAAACCUACUAUUGUCAAGCAAGAAAGAAAAGAAUGUGGUACUUGUUCCUGUAAAGACUUGGGUGACAUCUCAUUGCCUCUGUGAUUGCCUGCACACAGUUCUCAACAGCAGUAGACUUGGAUGUAGGAAAACCCUUUCCCUCACCAUUUUGGAAGGAGACAUUUACUGCUUACCUGGUUUGGAGGUUAUCAAGUUGAGGAAUCACAAGAAGUUUUUGGUGCUGUGAAUAAGUCAGGCUUGUGAACUGAGGUUUGAGGGAUGCUGUGGGGAAGGAUUCAGUGGAUGGCCGGGGAACUCUUGACAAAACAGGGCUGAAGGAAGGAGGGAGGAGUAGUCUUGUUCGUGGAAAGACUAUGAAGUGUCUCAGUACCCUGCAGGAUUUUGUUGGUUCCUUCUUGCUGGAUGUCCAGCCCACACAGGGCACAAACUAGUGCAGCUCAGGGUUAGUCCUAACCCUGGGUAAAUAGGCAGUGGUGCCUCAGGAAAGAUAUCCACAGUAUAAAUCUAUCAGGACAAGCAUGAAAGAAAAGAAUGAGGCAGUGAGGAAUGUGGUACUUGUUUCUGUGAAGACUUGGUAAAUGUAAAUAUUAACAGAGUGAACUAUAUACCAUCUUUUGAUACAUCAGUGUAUUAUAGUAAUAAGGGCAAAUGACAUCUGAUUCAUGAUUACAUUUUGGAUCUUUUUAGCAGUGUUACUGUAGAUCCUGUAUGGAUGGAAACAUACUGGUAUAUACUGAAUGAAGUCCUCAUUUACUUUUUGCCCUAUAAUGUAGUUAGCUCUUCUGAAAAACAGUAAGCAGAAAUUAAUAGGAAUGGAUACCUUUAUCUGCAAACCUAGACAGUCUUGUUAUCUGAUGAUAGCUGAUAAGGACAAAUAGCUGAUUGAUAUUACCUUUGGAAUUUGUCGUGUAUUUAAGGAACUUUUAUAUACAGUACUGUGUUCUAAGAGAAAUAAAAGUGGGAGUAAAA